AUCGCUUCUCGGCCCACGUGGCUAAGAUCAGUGUGUAGUGACUGUUCUCGUCAGUGUGAAAACUGACGGGUCUCGCUACGGCGGACCGUUUUUCACACGGAUUUUUGCUGCUGACCAUGGACUAGGUGCUUGCACCGUCCUGGUCUGGGUUGGCCCAGCAUUGCAGUACUGGUGGGAACGGCCCAUCAUCU